rnacentral:rRNA from 1 species
UACGUAGGGCGCAAGCGUUGUCCGGAAUUAUUGGGCGUAAAGAGCUCGUAGGCGGCUUGUCACGUCGAUUGUGAAAGCCCGAGGCUUAACCUCGGGUCUGCAGUCGAUACGGGCUAGCUAGAGUGUGGUAGGGGAGAUCGGAAUUCCUGGUGUAGCGGUGAAAUGCGCAGAUAUCAGGAGGAACACCGGUGGCGAAGGCGGAUCUCUGGGCCAUUACUGACGCUGAGACACGAAGGCCAGGGGAGCAAACGGG